UACGUAGGGUGCGAGCGUUAAUCGGAAUUACUGGGCGUAAAGUGUGCGCAGGCGGCCGCGCAAGUCGAGUGUGAAAGCCCCGAGCUUAACUUGGGAACUGCGCUCGAAACUACGUGGCUGGAGUGUGGCAGAGGGAGGUGGAAUUCCACGUGUAGCGGUGAAAUGCGUAGAGAUGUGGAGGAACACCGAUGGCGAAGGCAGCCUCCUGGGCCAACACUGACGCUCAUGCACGAAGCGUGGGAGCAAACAGG
rnacentral:rRNA from 1 species